rnacentral:rRNA from 1 species
CCAAUAGCGUAUAUUAAAGUUGUUGCAGUUAAAAAGCUCGUAGUUGAAUUUCGGGGUUAGCAGGUCGGUCGUGCCAUUGGUAUGAACUGGCCUCGCUGAUCCCUCCCUCUUGACGAACUGUGAUGCCAUUAAUUUGGUGUCGCAGGGAAUCAGGACUGUUACUUUGAAAAAAUUAGAGUGUUUAAAGCAGGCUCACGCUUGAAUACAUUAGCGUGGAAUAAUGAAAUAGGACGUUUGAUCCUAUUUUGUUGGUUUCUAGGAUUGACGUAAUGAUUAAUAGGGAUAGUUGGGGGCAUUAGUAUUCAAUUGUCAGAGGUGAAAUUCUUGGAUUUAUUGAAGACUAACUACUGCGAAAGCAUUUGCCAAGGAUGUUUUCAUUAAUCAAGAACGAAAGUUAGGGGAUCGAAGACGAUCAGAUACCGUCGUAGUCUUAACCAUAAACUAUGCCGACUAGGGAUCGGAUGAUGUUAAUUUUUUAAUGACUCAUUCGGCGCCUUACG